CCAGAGACCAACAGCUCGGCGACGCUGGUCACUAGAAGACCGACGCUUGCCAACAGGCUCGCCCAGCUACCCUCCAUCUCGGUUGCCUCGUUGUCUUCGCCCUGUGUAGAACAAGACGACGUUGUACGGGAGGAUAGAACAGGGAGAAAAUGUGGUAACAUGCUUGGAGCAUAUUAUAAAUGUUGCAGAAACUGAAGGAGGGAAGAUGUGGUAACACGCUUGGAGUAUAUUAUAAAUGAUAGCCUGACAGUUGGUAUAUGGCAAGUACAUUUAGCCAAUUAAUGGUCAAUGCUAUUUCAACUGCGAGAUCAUCAUAUCGACAAGCACUAACAUAAGAUGUACAAACGUAUGAAAUUACAUUUACGAAAUUGUAUAGCCUAUUGUAUCCAGAUUGUUGAUCAUCUAUAGGACUUUACGAUUUUUAAGAAAGGGAUUUUAUAGCUAUAACGUUUCAUAUAUUAUGUUAAUCACGUAAUACGCAUGGAAAUAUCCGUGUUGAAGCUUCUGACACUCGAUAUCCAACUGUGCUCUCAUUUUCUUCUCCUAUUGUUCUUACAAUCUCGUUAAUGUGUUGCACCAAGUAGGUACAUCAAGUACAGUUUCAUGAAUGCAACAGAGAAAUGGAGUAGUAAAUUAGUCCAUUAACUUGGAUAUAUAUUGGUUGUAUUGUGAUGUGAACGAAAGACAAAUUGACAUAUUCUUUCGAUUGAGAAGUAAAGACAAAUAUAGACUGGGCACAUCUCUACUUCAGAGGACUUUCUCCUGUCAAACGGUGGAACGAAGGUUCAGCAAUCCAUAUUCGUCAAAGUCUAGUUACUUCAACUUGUUCUAUUUACUUCAAUUCUUGUUGAGAAUGAAUUUCACGUUGUUCGAUAAUGUUACACUUGAGAUUCGUUUAACUUCACAUUAUCAGAAUGUACGAUCAACUUGAGAAGAGAUAAUCAA